CAAUAUUCCACAUUAUUACAUGUCAUGUAGUCAAAACCAGGCCAGUUGUCUAUGAAGAAUAUUUCCCCCUCUAGGCAAAGUCUGACUUUAUGUGAUCCAGACCUCUUUGCGACACCCAAGAACUACUAUGAUUUGUCUAGAGUGAGGCUCACAUAGACCACUACAGCAACUUAAACCUAACAAGUUGUUCCGGUUUACCUUGUCAUCAGCCACAUGUGCGUGUAAGGUGCUCAUUUCUAAAUUUGUUGUGUGUGAGGUGCCAUUUCUAAGUUUUCCUGAUAUUGGAGUGUAUACAGGCAAUGUGGAAGAAGAAGGUACAGAGGAGUACCUGGAUCACUGCUUGAGCUCAGUUUAGGGCCUGUGGACACUGCCUUGGGUACUGAGAAACCCCCAGAUCCUAGCCUAGACAGCAAAUGUUCUUGUCCAGGGAGUUUUAUCUCCUUAUCCAGAGUAAACAUUAUUCACAACAGCCCAGAUAUGGAAACUACUUCUGUGUCUAUGUAUGAACAGAUAAAGAAAAUGUGAGAUAUAUACACAAUGGAAUAUUAUUCAGCCAUGAGAAAGAAGGAAAUUCUGUCAUUUGCAACAACAUGGAUGGACCUUGAAAGCAUUAUGCUAAGUGUGAGCGGCGCAUAACUGGAAGAUGAAAUGAGAUACUGAGUUUCUAUUUUGGGGAGAAAACCAAUGAGUUAUCACCAAGAAAUGACAGCACAGGGACCUAACAAGGAAACUUGGGACACCAAACCACUCCCCACAUCACAAAGAUUGAAUUGUCCUGAUAUCUUUAACUUCUAUGCCAAGAAAGUAUUUUCUGGUGUCUUUUGUUCCUUGCAUUCUUGUGAACCUUCUCACAAUAUUCAUAUCCUUCAUGGUUGGGACAUAGAACUUUAGCCAAGUCUAUACGAUGCAAAAAUUCCAACAUAAUACAAAGGCCAAAAAUUCAUAUAUUUCCAAAUACAUGUACUCUGGGUAUGUGUGUAUGCACAUGUGUAUAUAUAAGUGUUUAUAUGAAUAUAUUUGACAUUGCAGAAAAAGAGCAUCUGGCAUUUUCAUCCAGAUGUUUGACAUUAUGUAGUUACUAUAAUCCAGCCAGCUGUGUGCUUCAGGUCACUUUUUUUUUUUCUUUUUUGUUCAUUGAUGGGUGUAACAUGCAGAUAAUCAAAAGAUUUGUUGCAAUCACAACAGAGAAAAUCUAUCAUUCCUCCUUGAUCUACCAUAUUAGAUUAGCUUAAAAGGAUUUGGUUUUAAGUAGAACACAUUAGUCAUUAUCCACUAAGUACCUUCUUGUCUUCAAGUUAUUUGCAAAUUGAUUAUAUCAGGGUUUCUGCCAGUAUUUUCUUAAGUAUCCAAGUGAAGGUUACUUGUCUGUUCUGCUUGUUAUAUGACUCGUGACUUCAUUUAGUCCUCUACUGGUGACAAAUUUCCCUGUUAACACUUCAAGAUAAAACCUUUAGGGAACCUGACAUAUGAAUAAAAAGAAUGCAUUAAAACCAAGGUUGGUGGAGUUGUUUCUAUUAUUAGAGUUCCUACAUAUGAAAUUCUGCCAGUAUUUCAAAUGCAUACUGAAUGCUGAAAAUUACCAUUGCCAUUCUUGGUCGUGUAUUUAAUAUCAGACUUAGCAAGUAAGAUUGUGAAAGAUUCUUACUUUACAACUUUUUAUAACCAUGAAACAUAGUGGACUCUUCAGUUUUUUUUAAAUGACCAUGACCUAGAAGGACCAAAAAGUGGAAAAUUAUAAUUUCUAGGGUUUUUUACUUUAUGUAUGAAUUAAAUUUACAUAUAACAGAGCCAAUGUUAUUUCAUGAAUUUUGUGAUUGAUAUACAAUAAUAUGCCAUCCCCUAAGAUAUGU